ensembl:lncRNA
GGUUACAGGAGGGGUUAAAGGAGGGGUUACAGGAGGGGUUAAAGGAGGGGUUACAGGAGGGGUUAAAGGAGGGGUUACAGGAGGGGUUAAAGGAGGGGUUACAGGAGGGGUUAAAGGAGGGGUUACAGGAGGGGUUAAAGGAGGGGUUACAGGAGGGGUUAAAGGAGGGGUUAAAGGAGGGGUUACAGGAGGGGUUAAAGGAGGGGUUACAGGAGGGGCUGCGGUGCUUAGUGAGGAAUUUUAUCUGUAAAUGGCAGCGGAGGGGAAGGGAGCCCUGCCAUCCGCGGCUGUGCGGCCUCCAGAGCCCCAGCCAAGCUGGCAGCGGUUCAGCAGAGGAUUGAGCAUCGCUCCUGAAGAGGAGAGCCCUGAACAAGGGAUGGUUUGUGAGCCGCUCGUCUCCCUCAAGAGCUCCUCUCUUUUCCCGUAUGGCUGCGUGUGGAUCCCUGGAAAAGCAGCUGGAGCAGCGCCUGCCUCCCCUCCUGCCUCCAGCCUCGUUUUCUGGCUCUGCCUGGAGCAGCCAGGCUCAGGGUGGCCUCCCUGAAGAUGCAGCCUUGUCCUUAUCUCUUGAGUCACCCAUGAACCCAGCCCGUGUCAGUUCUGGCCUGAAACGUGAGCCAUUCAUCAAGUUCUAAAACAACAUCCUGGAAAAAGGAUGUUGGCUCGUGCCUGUUUGACCAUGGGGAGACGCUGCCCUGACUCACACGGGAGAAUCCCAAAUAUGACAUUGCAAAAUUCAGUGCUGAUAUUUUUGGGGUUUGUUCGCCGGUCAAAUUACUCAUUUCCAAAGAAUUGGUUUCUGUUUGGAAACAAAGUGCAAAGCACUAAAAUUUGUUGUGUGUGUCUUAUUUGUAAGGCCCUGGAGCAGACUGAUUUCCAUCUCCUUUUUAUGUUUUUAAAUUAAAGGCUGCUCCUUUACAGUCUCCAUCCAUCCCAGCUCUUUAGAAAGAUUAUGGAAUGGGAGGAAUAAGCAGUGAAGAAAAUUAAUGCUCACGGGAAGCUGAGUUUCUCCCUUUUGUUCAAUAUUGGAACAGGAGAUAAAUCUGGAAAAAUAAAGUUGCGUAAACGCUCUCGGGCGUUCUCCAAAGGGCAGAAAAUCCUGAUUUUUCUGCCUUUCCCUCUGCUCCACACCAGGAGCCUUUACCCAUCCUGAGCUGAGAGCUUCCAUCAGCAGCUCCUGGUGAUACAACCUUUGCGGGGUUUGUCUGCUGCCAGCAUCACCCAGCCCCUCCCCAGGGAUUUCGGCUGCUUGGGGCGCUGGGGACAAUCCCUGGAAGCCGCCAGCUUGUUGGAAUUCCUUGGGGAAGCUGCUGCAGAUCCCUUAAUCCCCAUAAACCCAUUAUUCAUGUCAAGCCCUUGAGUUUAAUGCUUUUCCCAUAUCCCGCUAACUACGGGGAUAACGCGGUGGGGGUCGACGCUUCCACCAGGAUUUUUCACACGCAGUCCAGAUUUUUGAUUUGUAGGGCCGAGUUUUGUGCUUUGCUUCGUUCAAAUUCCCCAUUUUUCUCCAGACGUGAUCAGAGUCUUUCACAGUUUCUCCUCUUUCCACCCCAGGAAUAAUGAUGUGUAUAUUAAUAACACACACACAAUUUAGGAUUGGCGUGGUAAUGACUCCUGAUCCCAUCUAAGAUUUCAUGGGAAUUUCAAAAUACAUUUUUCUCCCCUCACAAAUAAUCUGCCUGAGCACUUUCUAUGACUGUAAUAAACCAGCUGAGAACAAGUGCUUUUAGUUUCAGAAGAACUGCUCGAUGAUUUAAAUCUAAAAUUGCUCUCCAGAUCUCUCUCCCUGCAAAACCAACCACUAAAGCAUCCAUGGAAAAUAUUGAAUAAUAUACAUAAAACAUGGAUUUUUACACGUCCCACCCCUCCUCCGCGCUGCUGGUGUGCAGCUAAACGCACAUUAAAAGAACAUUAUCAAGGUUUAAGGUCAGACAUUUGCAGAUUAGGAAAUGCGCGUUUCCUGCGUGGUGGAGGCAGUGGCUCCCUUGGGAAUGAAGGAUGGGCAUUAAUUCCAUGGUCACGUCUGAUUUUAUUUUUUUGUUGGUUUUUGGUUUUUUUGUUUUUGGGGGUUUUUUUUGCUGUUGUCGUUGUUGUUGUUCCAGAACCCAGGAGUGAUUUUGCCACCUCAACGAGCAUCUAUUGAGGGACAUCUGCACCUCUGGAAUCCCCACUUUGUUUAGGGCCGCUCUUCUGAACGCAGACCCAUUUGUUAUCUCUUAGGCCGGGCUUAUCUAUGUCUUAUUCAACUUCUUAACAGAUGAAAAAAGAUUAUUUCUAGCCGAGAUGCCACGAGCCGAGCCGGCCCGUUUGACAGCAGAGAAGCAGCGAGGUCACAAGUACCCGCUAAUUCCCGCUAAGGGAUCAUUCCCCAUCCUUAACAUUCUGCAGAUGUUGGAAAAGUCCCAUUAGGGCUUCAAAUCACAAACCGCACUGCCAGCCCAGGGAAUUCUCACUUCGGGAGAAAUCAGCUUCAAGGAGCUCGGCUGCCACGCGUGGCUCAGACCCCGCCAAGGGACAGAGCUCUGGCUGCCAAACCCAAACCCCAAAAAGCCUCCAGUUCCAAGGAGGGUUUAAAAUUGAUGGUGGCAGGGUGAGAACGAGCCUCUCCCGGCUGGUGAUGUCGGUGGAAUACUAUGCAGGAGCAACGGCAUGAAAAUCAAUGCUAAUUAGCUGUGAACUGAAAACAAAAUGAAGCUUGACACUCUUAUAAUCUCUAUUUUGGCAUUUAGAAAUCCGGCUGUGACUCCAGCGCUGGGAGAGAGCUGCAUAAAUCCAUAAAAUCAGCUCGAGACACCC